GACGAACACUGGCGGCGUGCUUAACACAUGCAAGUCGAACGGUAAGGCUCCAGCUUGCUGGGGUACACGAGUGGCGAACGGGUGAGUAACACGUGGGUGACCUGCCCUGCACUUCGGGAUAAGCCUGGGAAACUGGGUCUAAUACCGGAUAGGACCAUGGUGUGGAUACUGUGGUGGAAAGUUUUUUCGGUGUGGGAUGGGCCCGCGGCCUAUCAGCUUGUUGGUGGGGUAAUGGCCUACCAAGGCGGCGACGGGUAGCCGGCCUGAGAGGGUGGACGGCCACAUUGGGACUGAGACACGGCCCAGACUCCUACGGGAGGCAGCAGUGGGGAAUAUUGCACAAUGGGCGGAAGCCUGAUGCAGCGACGCCGCGUGGGGGAUGACGGCCUUCGGGUUGUAAACUCCUUUCACCAUCGACGAAGGGUUUCUGACGGUAGAUGGAGAAGAAGCACCGGCUAACUACGUG
rnacentral:rRNA from 1 species